rnacentral:rRNA from 1 species
AAACUAGAUAUGACUUAGUGGCGGACGGGUGAGUAACACGUGAGCAACCUGCCUUUCAGAGGGGGAUAACGGCUGGAAACGACUGCUAAUACCGCAUGAUGCAUAGGGGUCGCAUGAUUCUUAUGCCAAAGAUUUAUCGCUUCAAGAUGGCCUCGCGUCUGAUUAGCUGGUUGGCGGGGUAACGGCCCACCAAGGCGACGAUCAGUAGCCGGACUGAGAGGUUGAACGGCCACAUUGGGACUGAGAUACGGCCCAGACUCC